AACGAACGCUGGCGGCAGGCUUAACACAUGCAAGUCGAACGCCCCGCAAGGGGAGUGGCAGACGGGUAAGUAACGCGUGGGAAUCUACCCAUCCCUACGGAAUAACGCAUGGAAACGUGUGCUAAUACCGUAUACGCCCUACGGGGGAAAGAUUUAUCGGGGAUGGAUGAGCCCGCGUUGGAUUAGCUAGUUGGUGGGGUAAAGGCCUACCAAGGCGACGAUCCAUAGCUGGUCUGAGAGGAUGAUCAGCCACAUUGGGACUGAGACACGGCCCAAACUCCUACGGGAGGCAGCAGUGGGGAAUAUUGGACAAUGGGCGCAAGCCUGAUCCAGCCAUGCCGCGUGAGUGAUGAAGGCCUUAGGGUUGUAAAGCUCUUUCACCGGAGAAGAUAAUGACGGUAUCCGGAGAAGAAGCCCCGGCUAACUUCGUG
rnacentral:rRNA from 1 species